rnacentral:rRNA from 1 species
CCUACGGGAGGCUGCAGUGGGGAAUAUUGCACAAUGGGGGAAACCCUGAUGCAGCGACGCCGCGUGAGUGAGGAAGUAUUUCGGUAUGUAAAGCUCUAUCAGCAGGGACGAAAAUGACGGUACCUGACUCAGAAGCCCCGGCUAACUACGUGCCAGCAGCCGCGGUCAUACGUAGGGGGCAAGCGUUAUCCGGAUUUACUGGUUGUAAAGGGAGCGUAGACGGCUAAUCAAGUCAGAAGUGAAAACCCAGGGCUCAACCUUGGGAGUGCUUUUGAAACUGAGUAGCUAGAGUGCAGGAGAGGUAAGCGGAAUGCCUAGUGUAGCGGUGAAAUGCGUAGAUAUUAGGAGGAACACCAGUGGCGAAGGCGGCUUACUGGACUGUAACUGACGUUGAGGCUCGAAAGCGUGGGGAGCAAACAGGAUUAGAUACCCUUGUAGUC